rnacentral:rRNA from 1 species
GUGAAGUCGUAACAAGGUAACCGUAGGGGAACCUGCGGUUGGAUCACCUCCUUACCUGAAAGAA